rnacentral:rRNA from 1 species
GAUGAACGCUAGCGGCAGGCCUAACACAUGCAAGUCGAGGGGUAACAGGGAUUGCUUGCAAUCCGCUGACGACCGGCGCACGGGUGCGGAACGCGUAUGGAACCUGCCCCUGUCAGGGGAAUAGCCCAGAGAAAUUUGGAUUAAUGCCCCAUGGUAUUGUAUUGACACAUGUUGAUAUAAUUAAAGAUUUAUCGGACAGGGAUGGCCAUGCGUACCAUUAGUUAGUUGGUAAGGUAACGGCUUACCAAGACAACGAUGGUUAGGGGCCCUGAGAGGGGGAUCCCCCACACUGGUACUGAGACACGGACCAGACUCCUACGGGAGGCAGCAGUGAGGAAUAUUGGACAAUGGAGGCGACUCUGAUCCAGCCAUGCCGCGUGCAGGAUGACGGCCCUAUGGGUUGUAAACUGCUUUUGUACGGGAAGAAACCCGCCUACGUGUAGGCGGCUGACGGUACCGUAAGAAUAAGGACCGGCUAACUCCG